GCCCUUAUGGCGUAGUGGUAGCGCGUCGCACUUGUAAGACCACGGUUGGGUCAAUUACAUGCGAAGGUCACUAGUUCAAUCCUGGUUGGGGGCA
rnacentral:tRNA from 2 species